UACGUAGGGUGCGAGCGUUACUCGGAAUUACUGGGCGUAAAGCGUGCGCAGGCGGUUUUGUAAGACAGAGGGGAAAUCCCCGGGCUUAACCUGGGAACUGCCUUUGUGACUGCAAGGCUUGAGUGCGGCAGAGGGGGAUGGAAUUCCGCGUGUAGCAGUGAAAUGCGUAGAUAUGCGGAGGAACACCGAUGGCGAAGGCAAUCCCCUGGGCCUGCACUGACGCUCAUGCACGAAAGCGUGGGGAGCAAACAGG
rnacentral:rRNA from 1 species